UACGUAGGGUGCAAGCGUUGUCCGGAAUUAUUGGGCGUAAAGAGCUCGUAGGCGGCUUGUCUACGUCGACUGUGAAAACCCGGGGGCUCAACUCCGGGCCUGCAGUCGAUACGGGCUGGCUUGAGUGCGGUAGGGGAGACGUGGAAUUCCGUGGUGUAGCGGUGGAGUGCGCAGAUAUCAGGAGGAACACCGGUGGCGAAGGCGGGUCUCUGGGCCGGACAUUGACGCUGAGGAGCGAAAGCGUGGGGAGCGAACAGG
rnacentral:rRNA from 1 species